AAUCAAGUUGAGGUGGAGAACAGAAAGGCUUAGUUACUCUUUAGGACAAGGUGGAGGUGGGGAGAAGCCGAGGAGAGCAUUUCACUCUGCCUUUUUUUUAAUGUGCAGACAUUAAACUGGUUUCGGUGCUGACUGGCUGGAAGGAGAAAUCUAAGCAGUAAUGAGGCAGUGUUCUGAAUAUCCUUCCUCACUUAUCCUAGUGGUUCUCAGGGGCAGUGAUGGGUGUGCUCGUUAGCAGGCUCAUUCCACCAAUGCAAGAACCAGGCAAGAUCAGAGGAGGACACAGAUGAGUGGUCUCGCCCACCUGCAAGUGUGGGCUUGAAUGGUGUUGCUAUGGGACUCUGCGGCACUACGCUUGGCUAUGCUCUGACUCUCUCUGCCUAAUACUUCAUGCCAAGAUUUUUUGAGACAGGAUCGCAUACCGUCACCCAAGCUGAAGUGCAAUGGUGCGAACAUGGCUCACUGCAGCCUAGACCGACUGAGCUAUGCAGUCUUCCCACCUCAGCCACCCGAAUAGGUGGGACUAUAGUUAGCUUCUUCCUGGAAUCCUGAAUCUUCCUGCUACAGGAUUUAGAGUGAGUUUAUACCUAUUAUAUUACUUCAUAUAAUUUUAAGAGAUCAUGAUAAAGAAUGAAGAUAAAUACUUGUGGCUACUCUUC
ensembl:lncRNA novel transcript